rnacentral:rRNA from 1 species
GACGAACGCUGGCGGCGUGCUUAACACAUGCAAGUCGAGCGGUAAGGCCCCUUUCGGGGGUACACGAGCGGCGAACGGGUGAGUAACACGUGGGUGACCUGCCCUCAGCUCUGGGAUAAGCCUGGGAAACCGGGUCUAAUACUGGAUAUGACUCCAUGACGCAUGUUGUGGGGUGGAAAGCCUUGUGCGGCUGAGGAUGGGCCCCGCGGCCUAUCAGCUUGUUGGUGGGGUGANGGCCUACCAAGGCGACGACGGGUAGCCGGCCUGAGAGGGCGACCGGCCACACUGGGACUGAGACACGGGCCCAGACUCCUACGGGAGGCAGCAGUGGGGAAUCUUGCGCAAUGGGCGAAAGCCUGACGCAGCGACGCCGCGUGAGGGAUGACGGCCUCGGU